AGAGUUUGAUCAUGGCUCAGGACGAACGCUGGCGGCGUGCUUAACACAUGCAAGUCGAGCGGAAAGGCCCUUCGGGGUACUCGAGCGGCGAACGGGUGAGUAACACGUGAGCAACCUGCCCUAGGCUUUGGGAUAACCCUCGGAAACGAGGGCUAAUACCGAAUAUGACUGCUGGCCGCAUGGCUGGUGGUGUAAAGUUUUUCGGCCUGGGAUGGGCUCGCGGCCUAUCAGCUUGUUGGUGGGGUAAUGGCCUACCAAGGCGACGACGGGUAGCCGGCCUGAGAGGGCGACCGGCCACACUGGGACUGAGACACGGCCCAGACUCCUACGGGAGGCAGCAGUGGGGAAUAUUGCACAAUGGGCGGAAGCCUGAUGCAGCGACGCCGCGUGAGGGAUGACGGCCUUCGGGUUGUAAACCUCUUUCAGCAGGGACGAAGCGAAAGUGACGGUACCUGCAGAAGAAGCACCGGCCAACUACGUGCCAGCAGCCGCGGUAAGACGUAGGGUGCGAGCGUUGUCCGGAUUUAUUGGGCGUAAAGAGCUCGUAGGCGGCUUGUCGCGUCGACUGUGAAAACCCGCAGCUCAACUGCGGGCCUGCAGUCGAUACGGGCAUGCUAGAGUUCGGUAGGGGAGACUGGAAUUCCUGGUGUAGCGGUGAAAUGCGCAGAUAUCAGGAGGAACACCGAUGGCGAAGGCAGGUCUCUGGGCCGAUACUGACGCUGAGGAGCGAAAGCGUGGGGAGCGAACGGGAUUAGAUACCCUGGUAGUCCACGCUGUAAACGUUGGGCGCUAGGUGUGGGGGACCUCUCCGGUUUCCUGUGCCGCAGCUAACGCAUUAAGCGCCCCGCCUGGGGAGUACGGCCGCAAGGCUAAAACUCAAAUGAAUUGACGG
rnacentral:rRNA from 1 species